GACGAACGCUGGCGGCGUGCUUAACACAUGCAAGUCGAACGCUGAAGACCUGGCUUUUGUUGGGUUGGAUGAGUGGCGAACGGGUGAGUAACACGUGAGUAACCUGCCCUCUUCUUUGGGAUAACGCCCGGAAACGGGUGCUAAUACUGGAUAUUCACUGAUCUUCGCAUGGGGGUUGGUGGAAAGGUUUGUUCUGGUGGGGGAUGGGCUCGCGGCCUAUCAGCUUGUUGGUGGGGUGAUGGCCUACCAAGGCUUUGACGGGUAGCCGGCCUGAGAGGGUGACCGGUCACAUUGGGACUGAGAGAAGGCCCAGACGCCUACGGGAGGCAGCAGUGGGGAAUAUUGCACAAUGGGCGAAAGCCUGAUGCAGCGACGCCGCGUGAGGGAUGGAGGCCUUCGGGUUGUAAACCUCUUUCGCUCAUGGUCAAGCCGCAACUGUGGGUUGUGGUGAGGGUAGUGGGUAAAGAAGCGCCGGCUAACUACGUG
rnacentral:rRNA from 1 species